rnacentral:misc_RNA from 1 species
AGAGAAGCGCUUCGAUCGGCCGCCAUGUUGUCCCACAAACAAAUCUUGGACAAGUUGUGGGAAGUUUAAGUUUUUGUUAAAAAAUGGUAUUGCGUUGUGCGUGGGGAACGUGUAAUGUUGACGAGAGAUAUCCUGAGAGGUUACAGAACGGUGUUAAGCUUAUUUUGUUCCCCAAACCGAAAACUAAUCUCCAUAAAUGUCUUCGAUGGAUCAAAGCUUGCGGACGUCCACACGAACAGUUGAACAUUCAGAGAAUAAACAAACACAAAGCUGUUUGUUCAAAGCAUUUUGUGGGAGGUAAUGGACCGAUUGUGGAAUUUCCUGACCCAUUACAAGCUGAUGGAUCAGCUGUUCGACCGACCAGGCCACUUCGCAAACGGACUAGCACAUUCACCGAGAGUAACCCAGUGUCAAAGAAAAAAAAACUUCUAUGUACAACAGAUAUAGAACAUGGAGAAGAUGUGAACUCAACAACAGAAACUGAAACAUCAAACAACACCAGCAGUGGUAACAACAUUUCUAUACAAACAGAAGAACCUUGGAUUUCUCCAUUUGAGAUGUUUGCAAUGGCCACUGAGCUACACGUGUCAAGAGAAAAAGAGAAGCAGUACGAAGCUACAAUCUGCACUCUGAAAGAGGAAAUAAAGGAACUUAAAGACAAACUAUCAUCUGACGAUCAAAAGCCAUCGUUUGGAGUCGACGAAGUGAUAAGAAGAGAGGGAAAAUUGAAAAAUUUGUUCAAAUAUUACACUGGCAUUGUAUAUUUAAGAUUUGCUGGUCUUUUGGCAUUUUUAGUCUCCGAUGGAUCAUCAGUAAAUUAUGAAAAAGGUCGAAAAGACAUUAGUAUGUUGUCACUGCAAGAUGGACUCUUUUUAACUUUAUGUAGACUGAGACAUAACUUUGGUUUGAAAGAUUUGUCAGUUAGGUUUAAACUAUCACUGCAGUCAUCUGGAAUUGUAUUUAAUACUUGGAUUUCAUUGAUGUAUUAUAAGUUUGGUCAACUUUGUAUUUGGCCUCAUCGUGAUGUAAUUAUUAAUAACAUGCCUAAAGAUUUCAAAAAUGAUUACCCUACUACUUUGGUAAUAAUUGAUGGUACUGAAUUUAGAACACAAUCACCAUGUGCACUUGGUUUGCAAAGUCAGCUUUACAGUGAUUAUAAAUCUAGUACUACUUUGAAAGCUUUAAUUGGUUGUGAUCCAAAUGGUUCAGUGAUUUUUGCAUCUGAAUUGUUUACAGGAUGUAUAUCAGAUAAACCAAUUUGUGAACAGUCUGGAUUUUACAAUGUUCUUGAAUCACUUAAAUUAGAAGGUUACGUAAAAGAUGGGGAUGCUAUUAUGGCUGAUAAAGGGUUUACUAUUAGAGAGGAAUUAAGUAAUUUAAAUUUGGUAUUGAAUAUUCCACCAAUGGCUUCAUCUACAUCCCAGAUGUCAGUCUCAGACACUCUGCUUACUGAGAAGAUUGCAAAACAUCGUGUGCACAUUGAAAGACUUAUCGCAAAGGUUAAAACUUACAAAAUGCUUUCUGUUCGCAUUCCUACAUAACUAUUUAAAAACAUUAACAAAAUUUGGUCUGUAUGUUGUCACUUGACUUUAUUCCAUGAUGUGUUUGUCACAGACAGUAAAAAUUGUAGUAUAUAACAUUAUUUAUUUAUUUAAAUCUUUACAGAAAAAAAUAAAAUUGUGACACUUUCUGUUAGAAUUGUUGAAGAAACUGAAUGCUUCAUAUGUAUUAAGAGCAGUUUUAGCCAAUGAGAAGAAGUCUUGGGUAGCUUAUAAAUAUAAUUAUGUAUAAUAACAUGAUAUUGAUAGUCUUGUACAUGUGAUGUCCCAAAUUCUGUAAUCUGUGUAAUCUUUCAAUACAUGUAUAUGUUUAUGUAAUAAUUUUUGUACCUGAUAUGACAAUAUUGAGCCUAUCUGCACAUCACCAAGGGGGGUGUUUACAAGUGGGUGACCUGCUGAUAUUGUAUACUCUAGAGGGGUUCCCUUUAACAUUUUCAGCUGCAUUAUGUCAGUUGUGGACACUUUGGGAAGUCUAUUAUUAAAAUAUAAUAAAUG